rnacentral:sRNA from 1 species
GCUGAGUGUGAUGGCACACAUCUGUAAUCCCAGUUACUUGGGAGGUUGAGCCAGGAAGAUCACUUGAGUCCAGGAGUUCUGGGCUGUAGUGCACUAUGCCAAUUGGGUGUCCACGCUAAGUUUGGCAUCAAUAUGGUGACCUCCUGGGAGCAGGGGAACCACCAGUUUGCCCAAGAAAGGAUGAACCAGGCUAUACAAAUUAUCAGCUCAUUUCCACAGCUAGAACAUUGAACACUCGGAGUCAGUGAGACUGGAGCAGGGCAGGGUCAGGGAAGUCAGUCACUGGCACA